AGAGUUUGAUCCUGGCUCAGGAUGAACGCUAGCGACAGGCUUAACACAUGCAAGUCGAGGGGCAGCACGAUGUAACAAUACAUUGGUGGCGACCGGCGCACGGGUGCGUAACACGUAUGCAACCUACCCAUAAGCGGGGAAUAACCCGGAAAAAUCCGGACUAAUACCGCAUAGUACGUUUGAGUGGCAUCGCUUAAACUUUAAAGAUUUAUCACUUAUGGAUGGGCAUGCGCAUGAUUAGAUAGUAGGCGGGGUAACGGCCCACCUAGUCAACGAUCAUUAGGGGUUCUGAAAGGAAGGGCCCCCACAUUGGUACUGAAACACGGACCAAACUCCUACGGGAGGCAGCAGUGAGGAAUAUUGGUCAAUGGGCGAGAGCCUGAACCAGCCAAGUCGCGUGAAGGAAGAAGGAUCUAUGGUUCGUAAACUUCUUUUUUAGGGGAAUAAAGUGCGGUACGUGUACCGUUUUGUAUGUACCCUACGAAUAAGGAUCGGCUAACUCCGUGCCAGCAGCCGCGGUAAUACGGAGGAUCCGAGCGUUAUCCGGAUUUAUUGGGUUUAAAGGGUGCGUAGGCGGGUUUUUAAGUCAGUGGUGAAAGUUUGCAGCUCAACUGUAAAAUUGCCAUUGAAACUGAAGACUCUGAGUGUAAAUGAGGUAGGCGGAAUGUGUUGUGUAGCGGUGAAAUGCUUAGAUAUGACACAGAACACCGAUUGCGAAGGCAGCUUACUAAGAUACAACUGACGCUGAGGCACGAAAGCGUGGGGAUCGAACAGGAUUAGAUACCCUGGUAGUCCACGCAGUAAACGAUGAUUACUAGCUGUUGCGAUAUACAGUAUGUGGCUAAGCGAAAGCGAUAAGUAUCCACCUGGGAGUACGUUCGCAGAUGAACUCAAGGAAUUGACGGGGCCGCACAAGCGAGAACAUGUGGUUAAUUCGA
rnacentral:rRNA from 1 species